rnacentral:rRNA from 1 species
UCUCAGGUUUUCGUAAUGAUGCCUAAGCGAAGAGGUGGAAGGGAUAAAGAUAUGAUCUCUCAUAGUGAAUGGCUGAAUAGUAUUCAAGCAGAACCUGAUGUUAUCUCAAUGUCUUUUGUACCUAUUGCUUCAUUGUUAAAUGGAGUUCCUGGUAGUGGAUUUCUGAAUCAUGCAAUUAAUUAGUAUCUUGGUUAUAAGCCCCUAAUUGAGGAAUUGCACCAGUUUUUGGCGUUCCAGCUUACAAGGCAGUGGGCGCCAGUUUAUAGUGACUUCCCUCUUGGUCCCCGGAGGAAAACGCAAAUCAGUGCAUCUUUGCCAGUAAAUUUUAUUGGUCCAACACUUUAUGUUUGUACCAACAUGGUUGACGUGGGAAAAAGACCGAUCACAGGACUCCGGUUGUUUCUUGAAGGAAAGAACAGUAACAAAUUAGCUAUCCAUCUUCAGCACCUCUGUUCCCUUCCUCGGGUUAUCCAGCUUGAAGAUGACCCAAACAACAGCCGAACUCCAGAACCAUUUGACCAUAGAUACUUUGAACCAAUAGGAUCAUGGAAGCACUUCUCCCACGUCUGCACAAUGCCAGUGGAGUCAGAGGAUGCCUCCAUCGUCACCGGAGCACAGCUAGAAGUGAUCAACCAGGGCUUCAAGAAGAUACUGUUCCUCCGGCUGCACUUCUCCAAAGUCGUGAACGCCUACCCUGUCAGGCAGCCCGAGUGGGAGGGGUCCCCUAACCUGAUCCAGAAGUCGGGUCUCAUCUCGACGCUCAUCAGCACACACUUCUCCACUGCGGUGCAGAAGCCUAUGCCCCGGCCCUCCGACGCGAACAUCAACUCGGCGGUGUACCCCAGUUCCCCGCAAGCGCCCGUGCAGCCACCGAAGUUGCUCAAGUUUGUGGACAGGACGGAGAUGGCCCGAGUGCCACAGGACCUGCCGGGGUACUGGGUGGUGUCGGCCGCCAAACUGCACCUUGAGAGGGGCAAGAUAUCCCUGCGGGUGCGCUACUCGCUCCUGAAGUCCUUGCCGCCCGACGAUGAGGAGUACGCGCUUAACUAG